rnacentral:tRNA from 1 species
ACCGAUAUGGUGUAACGGUUAACAUUGUCACCUUCCAUUGACAGCUCGGGGUUCAAUUCCUCGUAUCGGCA